rnacentral:rRNA from 1 species
AUUGAACGCUGGCGGCAGGCUUAACACAUGCAAGUCGAGCGAGCGGCGGAAGGGUGAGUAAUGUCUGGGAAAGUGCGUGAUGGAGGGGGAUAAGUAGGGGAAAAGGUAGCUAAUACCGCAUACAACCCGAUGGGCCCAGAUGGGAUUAGCUAGUAGGUGGGGUAAAGGCUCACCUAGGGGACGAUCCCUAGCUGGUCUGAGAGGAUGACCAGCCACACUGGAACUGAGACACGGUCCAGACUCCUACGGGAGGCAGCAGUGGGGAAUAUUGCACAAUGGGCGCAAGCCUGAUGCAGCCAUGCCGCGUGUGUGAAGAAGGCCUUCGGGUUGUAAAGCACUUUCAGCGAGGAGGCGUUACUCGCAGAAGAAGCACCGGCUAACUCCGUGCCAGCAGCCGCGGUAAUAC